AAUAUUUUUUAAUAUACAGUUCUUAAACAGUAUAGAGAUGAUCUCAGUGCACAGUGAUUUCUGUUUUCUAUCCUUUAAGGCAUGAAGUCAAGACCUUUCAUUUAUCAGCACAUCCAUUGUAAGGUGGGCUGUGCUGGAUGCUAGACACUCCUCCGUCCUCCUCCUGUCACUCACAGACAGCUCUGGCCCGACCCGUCCUGCUGAAGUCUGAAGGAGGAACAGGAAGAUGCUCCAGACCCCGCUGGCAUUUCUGCCUUUGUUUUCAGCAUCAUGAUCUCACAGUGUUGAGGAAUAUACUGCGUUUAGACCAGACCUCAGCUGACGGAAACCCUUCACCUCUAUGCUAAUCACCCAGAGCUCCUUCAAUACCUCAUCUGCAUUUCAUUCUCUGCUUUUGUCUAGUUCAAGAAGAGACUUGUUUCAUUUAAAAAACCUUCUGAUGGACUCCCGAUAACACUGAACAUUAAAAUCUAUUAAUGGUUGGCUGUAAGUUACCUUAUCAUAUGGUGAAAUAAAUGAUACAAGAGGAUAAUACAU
ensembl:lncRNA